GUCGGCGACCAUACCACGUUGAAAGCACCGGUUCUCGUCCGAUUACCGAAGUUAAGCAACGUUGGGUGCUUGCAUGGAUGACCGGUUGGGAAUACCGGGUGUUGCCGGCU
rnacentral:rRNA from 1 species